GUCAUUUUCCCCUUUCAAGCAACAUUCACAAGUACCCAUCCGUUCAUUACCUAAUGGGUUGAUGUAUCCGUCUUUCGACAUCUUGUGAAUCUUUUCAAGGUUCACAUGUCCAAGUUUAAGAUGCCACAUCUUUUCUUGGUUAACUUCUUCUCUAGCCCUUUUGGGUUUUGAGGUAUUCCUGCUCGCAAUACAGUGCAUCCCACUAUUCGUCUCUAGGUUGAAAAAGUCCCUCUAUCAUAUUACCAUGAGAGAUAAUACGACCGUUCAAGUAUAAGUGCAACUCAUUUUGUCAAACAAUACUGAGUGCCCAUCUCGUAAAGCUUAGAGAUGGAAAUCAAAUUCUUUAUACAUGAAGGAAAAUAUAAACAAUUUUUAAGUUCCAGG
rnacentral:lncRNA from 1 species